UCCCGUGCGAGGCUGGAGUCGCGGAGGUUGUGAGCCUGGGACACCCGCCCGGAGCUCGCCCGCCCCGCCAGCCCGCGGCUCGCUUGGCCCGGAGGGUCAAGGAGGGGGUCUCUCUCUCUCUCACUCCAGCAAUUUCCCCCGGAGAUGGCUAAGAGGAUAGAUCAAGAAUCCCAAUGUCCCCAGGCCGGGGGAAAGGUCAUGGUGUUUCGUCACAGCAGCAGAAACCCUAAGACAUUACUCAAGGCCCUGUUCUCCCAAAGAAGUUUCCUUGCUCAAAAUCGGCUGUGGGGUUGGCGUGUGCAGUGGUUGCCUGGUGUCUACAGGGCCCUGAGUUCAUUGCCCAGCAAGAGAGAAAUAGCACUGUGCUGUCUACUCAUACGGUCGUUGGGACUUAAGAGGAAGAGGCAGACAUGGGUGUCAUGGCUCAUCCUUGUCGUCUCCAGCCACUGGAGAGGCUGGGGCGGGAAGAUUGCCAGGAGUUUGCCUGGGUCACACAGCUAGUUCCAGGCUGCUCAAGACUGCACACAGGGAAAUCAAGUCUCUAAAUAAAGAAAUAAAUAAGGAAGAGGCAGGCCGAGAGCCCUCAGUAACUACGCUGUUCUCGGCCUUGGUGAAGCGUUCAGUGAAUGCCAGCUGUGUUAUCCUCGACCCCACCACUCCCGGCAAGGUCCAAGAUCUAUGUGCUCUGGGCACUCAAUUCAUUCUUCUCCACUAAGCGAGGCCACAUCCACAGCAUCCGGGAUAUAAACAGUGCACAAAACGGCUGCAUUGCUGACCAGCUCUGUAAAGGCUUCCAUGAAUAUAUUCAUCGCUGCCACGAAUAAAUUAAUUGAAAGAAGG